CCUACGGGGGGCUGCAGUGGGGAAUAUUGGACAAUGGGCGAAAGCCUGAUCCAGCCAUGCCGCGUGUGUGAAGAAGGCCUUCGGGUUGUAAAGCACUUUCAGUGGGGAAGAAAGCCUUGGGGCUAAUACCCUCGAGGAAGGACAUCACCCACAGAAGAAGCACCGGCUGAACUCCGUGCCAGCAGCCGCGGUAAUACGGAGGGUGCGAGCGUUAAUCGGAAUUACUGGGCGUAAAGCGCGCGUAGGCGGUCUGAUAAGCCGGUUGUGAAAGCCCCGGGCUCAACCUGGGAACGGCAUCCGGAACUGUCAGGCUAGAGUGCAGGAGAGGAAGGUAGAAUUCCCGGUGUAGCGGUGAAAUGCGUAGAGAUCGGGAGGAAUACCAGUGGCGAAGGCGGCCUUCUGGACUGACACUGACGCUGAGGUGCGAAAGCGUGGGUAGCAAACAGGAUUAGAUACCCGGGUAGUC
rnacentral:rRNA from 1 species